CAGCGCCGCGGUAAUACAGAGGGUGCGAGCGUUAAUCGGAUUUACUGGGCGUAAAGCGUGCGUAGGCGGCUUCUUAAGUCGGAUGUGAAAUCCCUGAGCUUAACUUAGGAAUUGCAUUCGAUACUGGGAAGCUAGAGUAUGGGAGAGGAUGGUAGAAUUCCAGGUGUAGCGGUGAAAUGCGUAGAGAUCUGGAGGAAUACCGAUGGCGAAGGCAGCCAUCUGGCCUAAUACUGACGCUGAGGUACGAAAGCAUGGGGAGCAAACAGGAUUAGAUACCCCCGUAGUCCCUGUCUCUUAUACC
rnacentral:rRNA from 1 species